UUUUGUUUUUUUUUUUUUUUUUUUUUUUUU
rnacentral:ribozyme from 13 species